rnacentral:rRNA from 1 species
UACAGAGGGUGCGAGCGUUGUCCGGAAUCAUUGGGCGUAAAGAGCGUGUAGGCGGUUUGGUAGGUCCGCUGUGAAAACUCGAGCUCAACCUCGAGACGCCGGUGGAAACCAUCAGACUAGAGUCCGGAAGAGGAGAGUGGAAUUCCUGGUGUAGCGGUGAAAUGCGCAGAUAUCAGGAGGAACACCGAUGGCGAAGGCAGGUCUCUGGGCCGAUACUGACGCUGAGGAGCGAAAGCGUGGGGAGCGAACAGG